GUUUCUAGAGCUCGGAGGCUGCUGGUAGGGGGGCACCACUUUCAGAUAAAAACAUAGACCUGAAUGGCAUCAUCCAGUAUCCAAGGAAACCAUGUGAACAACAAAGAAGACUUGGAAACUCAGUGAUCAGGGAUUGGAAAUGAUGGUGAUGGUAAGUGGAAUAUCAUUGAUGCUGAACAUUCAAACCUCACUGAUGUCAGAAAAGACAUGACAAACUCCAAAAGGAAACCCAAGCAGCUAUUUGGCUCCCUUAAUUAAUGAAGUCGCCCAGUAUGGAUAAUUCAGGUAGGAUUUUUCUUGCCUUUGGAAAAAAUAAAUCUCUUACCAGAGAUAUGAAAAAUUCAGCUGAAUUUAUUUAUGGCCCUAGUAAAGGUCUUUUCAUGCUCUACAAUGACAAUAUUUUUACAAAACCUACAGGUUCUCUAAACAUGAAUAUGCCUUUGGGGGAAGACAGAAGAACAUGGAAGCCAUGUGAAAAAAACGGAUCCUAAGAAGCAUUGAAAAGAACAACUUUCAAGUCAAAAGAAUCAAGGUGAAGAGAAUGGAUACUCAUGCCCAUGUGAAUUUGCUGCCCCAAGUCUACUGGAGGAUCAAGCUGCAGGUUUCAAUAGCUAUAGCCUGAAGAAUCUCUGUAAUGAACUAAAACAAUCAGUAAAAGAUCAGUUGCAGUGGAAGACAUUAUACUCUAGAUUUUUCUAGUAUUAUUAAAUUUGAAAAUGAUUUAUUCCAAAUUUUAACUUAGCUUUUAAUUUUACUAGUGUCAAAAUGUUGUACUACUUUGGACAACUGAUUUUUCCAAUAGAGAGUCAAUAGCAUCUUUGCAGGGUGGUUUAAAAGCCAAUAAUUUAAUCCAUAUUCUACUAAAACUUUUAAUAUAAGCAUUUUACCCAGAUGUAUUUUUUCCUUGUUUUAGAAAAUCUGAUUUUAAUUGCUAAAACUCGUUUUUAAAUAUUAAUUCAAUGAAAGAAAUGCUAUGGUUUUCUACUUUUUCAUUUCUUAAACUCAAGGGAAAACAUGGGUGAAAAACAAAAAAUUGUUCUGCAUAGAGUCUUCUUUAAUGUCUCACUUUGGUGAUGUAUGAAAUAAAAACCAAAUUGUUUUAACCAGCUAAAAA
rnacentral:lncRNA from 1 species